rnacentral:rRNA from 1 species
UACGAAGGGGGCUAGCGUUGCUCGGAAUCACUGGGCGUAAAGGGUGCGUAGGCGGGUCUUUAAGUCAGGGGUGAAAUCCUGGAGCUCAACUCCAGAACUGCCUUUGAUACUGAGGAUCUUGAGUUCGGGAGAGGUGAGUGGAACUGCGAGUGUAGAGGUGAAAUUCGUAGAUAUUCGGAAGAACACCAGUGGCGAAGGCGGCUCACUGGCCUGGUAUUGACGCUGAGGUGCGAAAGCGUGGGGAGCAAACAGG